CAAGCAUGCAGCCCUUUGCCCUGGUUUCCCCCCAUUUCUCUCCUCUUAAAAGCACUAUUGUCAUGUUGGACAAAAGGCACUCACACAUAGUUUGAGUUAAGAACCUAAUGCAAUUUGUUGGAAUAUGUUGGAGAGCUAACAUCUGUCUGGUCAUUGCAAUUUUUCUGCUCAUGCAUGCAGGCAUACUGGAGCAAUCAGCUUCUCUGAGUGACGGUAACAGUAGCUGACAUCUUUGAGCCAUGUGCCAGGCAUUCUGCUAACCACUUUGCAUGCAGUCUCAUUUAAUCGUCACAGUCCGGUGAGAGAGAUGCCCAUUUUGCAGAUGGAAAAACAAAAAUUUAGAGAAGUUGACCAAAGUCACAUUAUCUGGAAGGUGACAGAGCCCAAGCCAGGUCAGCCCUUUUCCUCACCCUGUGAUACAAUGUUUAAAAGGGGACAUCUCUGAGGGUGAAAUGGGAUACUGCUGCUAUUUUUACAGGGAUGACAGUAAUAAAUCAGAGUGUAGAUGAAGACAUCUGUUUACUCUGACUAUAAGCUCUCUCCGAGGGGCGCUUUCCAUCAUUGAGACCUAAAGGAAGACUUUGGGGUCCUUUCUGAGGUCCUUUCCCCAAGGUUGGAAAGUCCUUAGCUUCUAAUCAGAUUUAAUUUUUACUUAAAGGAGGCAUUGUUUCCACGAAUGUGUCUACUGAUGGCAUGCUAUAUAAACAUGUAAGAACUGUACCCAGUCCCUCUCUGUUUGUAUUAGAGAGAUUCAGUUGUGCGUGUACUAUGGGCUGUGUGUUUUGAUGGGUAGUGGGAAAAUGAAGAUGAAAAGACAUGGUUCAUGCCUGCAAGGAAUUUAUAGUCUAGUGUGGGGACGAAAACCAAUGGUUAAACAGAACAGGGUGAACAGAGCUCUGAAGAGAAGCAGAGAUGUCCAGAUGCCACGGGCCCACAGUUGGGGGAGUCUGUCAGGGGCGGAUAAGGGAAGCCCCAGAAAGAGGGUCACAUGGUGGGGUUUUCUAUGGAGCAUAGCUGGGAGGGGCAGAGACCAGAGACACAGGAUGGACAUCAGGUGGCAGCCUCAGUUAUUCCGUGAGAGAUGACCGGCUGGGGCCAUGAGGAUGGAGGGGAGAGAAGAGAAAUGAACGGAACGGAAGGGGGAGAGUACACAGAAGCAUGAUGAUUUAUGGGAUGUGCGGGGUGAUGGGGUGACAAGACCCGUCCUCCCAGUUUUGGCUUCUCACUUCGCCUGUGUGUUUGUCUCCUCCAUUUCUAGUGCCAGAAUCCAGGAGGUCUCUAGUUAUGUACUGGGCAGAGAAUGGCAGAGGAGAGCAAGUAUUGAAAGCAGCUCAGAUUCCCUGUCUGUCAAGUAGAGAUGAUAAUCCUCCCAGUCCACAGGGCUGUUGGGGAGCCACAAGGGGAGCCUAAAGCGUAAAAUAUAACAUAAACAACAAUCUGCUAUUACAGUUAAUGUGAAUGGUUACAGUCUUCAUUCUGGAUGUACCUGAAAUAAAAUGACGAUGAUGCUGAUGGUGGCGGUGGUCAUAGUCGUUAAUGGCUGAGUUGGCACUUCAUAGGUUCCUGACGCUGUUCUCCAGGCUUGAGAUGUGUUGACACAUUUCAUUUUCACAAUAACCUCAUUUCACAGAGAAGGAAACUGAGGCACAGAGAAGUUGGCCAGUGAUGGAAGGUCACAGCUAUUUAGUGGCCUAAAAUGGGAUUGGGUGCAGGUCCCUGGCUCCUCUUCUUCUUUUUUUUUUUUUUUUUUCCCUCCUAUCUUAUCUGUGUCAGAUCCCAAGUACAAUCUAGUCAUUAGUUUGCAUCCAGUUUUUCUCUGGUGACCAGGGAGAUUUCCUGCCUGGGUACUCUGCCCUGGCUGCCAGCUUUCCAGCCGGAGUUCCUGUCCUCACUUAAUAUUAACCUCGUUUAACUCAAGUGUGCUAACAUCUCCCUUGCUGGAAGCCUGGUCCUUUAAGUGAUGGUAGACUGCGAUUACCGAGGGGUACGGGGAAUAGGGCCUGAGGUUUAGGUCUCUGGUGACUGUUUCACGAUGAAGAUCAAUACCUGUUCUUUCCAUGAUCCACCCCCCCAUCCCACCCCCUGCUCCCAGAAAAAGGAAAUGGGGCCUCUGCUUAUGAUGGAAGAUGGAAGAUGAGGAGGGAGGGUUAGGUACAGGAAAGAGAAACUACCUGCUGAGAGGAGGACAAGGAGAAAGUGAAAUAGUAGGGACUAAGAAGUAGGAGUUAGAUGCUGCCUUUCUGACUGAGUGGAUGAAUGAAUGAAAGAACAAAAUUUUAAAUGCCUGCUGUGUUCCAGGCAAGCUUAGGCUUUAUCCUGUCAAUUAUCUCAGUUAAUCCUGGCAACAGUUCCACCCUUUGUUGAAGGGAAUGCAGCCUGACCAUUUUCUUAUGGCUGUGUUCUUGUAAGCCUUUUAUUUCUGACAGCCCACAGCCACACACUGUGAUUUCAGAUUUUUCUUCUGGCUGGGUCCAAGGGUUCUUGAGUAGACAACUUUGCUGGGAAUUUUCAAGCUGCUCAGCUUUCCCCAGCUUUGUGCUUGACUGUUCUCCCCUCCUUUGUAAAAAUGUCUGUGGCUUUCAUGCCUAUCAUCCUUAGAUCCUUUUAACAAGACCUUCAAAAGCUGUAAAGCACAAUGAUGCAUGUGACGGAUGGUGCAAGGAAGGUAGUAAAAAGAAAGUUCUCCAUCCCUGCUGAGUCCUAGGAAGGAAAGAGUGUGAAUAAUGGGUUAAGUAGAGCUCUUAAGUUAUAAAAGUCACAAUUAUAGAUGCGUGUAAUUUUUAGCACAGAGAUUUAUUAAUUUGCAUUCAGAUCAUUAGAGCCAAUUAGCAGCUUCAGCUUCUCCCGCGACACUUUAAGUCUUUACCCUUUACUUUCCUUGUGAGCCCCAGAUCACACCUUCACAGACGAAGGCUCAAAACCAACCUCUGGUAUUAGUAUCUAGAAAAAGGGAGUCAUGCACUGCAGCCCCCUGCUCCUGUGCAACCAUGCCCAGAAGCUUCUUCUUGUUCUUUGUCUCUCUUUUUCUAGCCACUGGGGGCUUUUUCUUUAACUCUAUUUACUAUUCAUCAGAGAGCCCAUUGGUAGCAGUAUCCAUAGGAAUUAAGAAAGAAAAGGAGAAGGAGUGAAAACUGCCUUUGGUCCUCCUUUUCCUACCCAAGUGAGGCCCCUAUUAUUUUCAGGAAAGGAAAAGGACAGAGGAGCAACAGAAAUUCUGUUUGAAAACCUGACUUCUCAUGUUGGGCCACAGGUGAGACUCCGGGAUUUCCUCAUUCACUUCCCCACUUCCUUGGCACCGGCAUCUGUAAGAAACCCACAUUCAGUGAACCCUGAGAAACAUUAACGAAAGUCUCCUUCGUUUUUAAGUGUUCGCCUGUGGAAUGGUGCAGGUCAGCUCAUCAGUCAACAUUCUUUGGGAACUCACCGUAACUACUAUAAAUUGGUUGGCUGCCCAUUUCUUCCUGUUGCUUUUGCUCUAUUCCAGUUACGUUAUAAACUCUCUUUGAGUCGCAAGCCAUAGAGUCUGUGUUCCUUAUUGCUGCUAGCCAUUGCAUCUUCAUAAAUAAUUUUAAAAUGAGUCUAAGAAUCUAUCACACCCACACUGAUUGUCUUUAUUCCCGGGUUAUUGCUGGAUUCUCCCUGGUUCCCAUUCCCAAGUGGUUGAGAAUGGAUGGGGACCUCCCGCCAGUGGUGUUGCUGGACGUGUGCACUGACCGAUGAGCUCGGUGUCGAAGGCGCUUUACCUUCACUGUGGCCUCAGCUUUGUCAGGAUCCGUGUAUCUUGGAUCCCUUGUUAAUUUCCUGUCGGUUUCGUUAACAUGGCUGUUUCUGACCUUCUCCAUGCUAAAGCUCUCACCAUCCCCAGCUUCCUCUCUCUUAGCAGAGGAUCUUACCAGCCACAACUCUAGAAAAAAAUGUAAGGUUCUCAGGCUUCGUCUGCGCCCUCCCGUAUAUCUUCAGGGUGCUCUUAAUUAAUCCAUCCUUCUCUCCUUCCUAAGUUUGCAUGGCUGAACAGUCUGUGUGUGCUCUUCACAAGCUGGCCUCUGCUUAAUGCUCCGGCUGCAGCUUUUGCAGAUACUCACACUCCGUUUUGUCUCCCCCACCACCUUGACCAUUUGCAUUUCUUCAAGUAAGCCUGGGAGUAAACACCUCCACCCACUGUGAACAGACACCUCCACCUCUGCGGAAAGGGUUUCAUUCUUCCUUAUCUUGUCUUUUUUUUUUUUUUUUAGGUCCUCACCUGAGCAGAUGCAGGCUAGGGGUUGAAUCAGAGCUGUAGCCACUGGCCUACACCACAGCCACAGCAACAUCAGAUCCAAGCCUCGUCUGUGACCCACCCGACAGCUCAUGGCAGCACCAGAUCCUUAACCCACUGAGGGAGGCCAGGGGUCGAACCUGAAUCCUCAUGGAUGCUAGACAGAUUCGUUUCCACUGAGCCAUGACAGGAACUCCCACACUUCCUUACCUUAAUGCGGCUCUGAAGUCUGGGUUCUACAUAUGCCUCCCAUAGGCUCCCAAAUCCUCUGUGCAUAUUACCUUAGCACUAAUCACCCCAUAUUCCAAUUGCCUGUAAACUGCCUCAUCUAGUCUUUUUUUUUUUCUUCUUAUCUAAUUUUAUACUGCUGCAUCUAGAGUAGUGACUGGUACAUAUGUGUCAAGAAUUAUGCAUUGAGGAGUUCCUGCAGUGGCACAGUGGUUUAAUGAUCCAGCUCAUCUCUGUGAAGGUGCUGGUUCGAUCCCCAGACUGGCUCAGUGGGCUAAGGAUCCAGCAUUGCUGCAGCUGUGGUGUAGGCUGCAGCUGCCCUUGGAUUAGAUCCCUGGCCUGUGAACUUCCAAAUGCUGUGGGUUCAU
rnacentral:lncRNA from 1 species